rnacentral:rRNA from 1 species
GCGUAACACGUGGGUAAUUUGCCAUGAAGCUCGGGAUAACCUGCCGAAAGGUAGGCUAAUACCGAAUGUGGAUUUUGAAAGGCAUCUUUUAAAAUCUAAAGUUGGGGACCGUAAGGCCUGACACUUCUUGAUAAGCCCGCGGCCUAUCAGCUUGUUGGUGAGGUAAAAGCUCACCAAGGCGAAGACGGGUAACUGGUCUGAGAGGACGAUCAGUCACACUGGAACUGAGACACGGUCCAG